rnacentral:lncRNA from 1 species
UGUCACCAGGAAGCCAUCAAGAUCUGUGAUCUUGUCUCCAGCUGCCUGUGUUACUCUCCAUUAUCCACUGAGUCACCCAUAGCAGCUUGUCUUUAGCUUCCCUUACCAUCCUGCUUUCGCUCCUUGCCUAGGAGAAGACUUCUUGGUGGAUUGGCUGAUUGGUUAUUUAGUAUUUGCCCGAUAUCUUCUCUGACUCGGCUCUCUCACUUAAGAAUAGAAAGGGAUGUAUUGCAAUGUGUAGAAAACCUUUACAAUUUUGUCUUCUCUGAGCUUAAGAUCUUCGGAGUCAGAGGGAGAAUGACAUUAAAUUAUGCACGGGGUGAUGUGUUAGAUCCAUUCAUGCACAUCUGCAGGUUGGUGUCCUUCUCCUUUGGCACAAAACCCAAUUAGCUCACCUUGCCCACUGGGCCUUCUCGAACUGGCUGAGAAGCUUAUGAAAUUCCCUCUAAGCUUACCAGUAUCGACUUAAAACCUAGCAUUUCCUAGGGAGGCUUUCUGUUCCUAAAUGGCUAUUUCCUGUGUCCCUCAGUGGCCAUUUCCUGUGCUACUCAGUGACUAUUUCCUGUGUCUCUCAGAGGCUAUUUCCUGUGUUUCUCAGAGGCUAUUUUCUGUGUCUCUAAGUGGCUAUUUCCUGUGCCCCUCAGUGGCUAUUUCCCAUGUCUCUCAGUGACCAUUUCCUGUGUUCCUCAGUGACCACUUCCUGUGUCUCUCAGUGGCCAUUUCCUGUGUUCCUCAGUGACUAUUUCCUGUAUCCCUCAGUGGCUGUUUCCUGUUUCCCCCAGUGGCUAUUUCCUUCAUCUCUCAGAGGCUAUUUUCUGCAUCUCGCAGUGGCUAUUUCCUGCAUCUCUCAGGGCUAAUUCCUGUGUCCUUCAGUGGUUAUUUCCUGUGUCUCUCAGGAAUGAUUUCCUGGGUCCCUCAGAGGCAAUGUCCUGGGUCCCCCAGUGGCCAUUUCCUGUAUCCCUCAGUGGCUAUUUCCUGUGACCUCAGAGGCGAUUUCCUGGGUCCCCCAGUGCUCAUUUCAUUGUGUGCAUGUGCUUAUGUUAUUAUCUCCUGACAGGUGUGACGUCUUCUUUCACUUUACCCUUGAUGUCUUUCAUGAUGCCUGGCAUGUGGUGUCAACCUGACAGUUUGUUUACAAAGGCAAGCAUUGUUUUCUUUCAAUAGAGGUGGUGACACCUGCUUGCAGCAUCCAGACGAACCCCCGCCAGAGAUCCAGUAAAUGAGGUGUAUGUGCUGGGUGAGAUACUGGCUUGUGUGGGACUUAAAUGUUUGUUCUAAGCCUUCACAGCCUUCCCCCUCCAUUACAUAAUUAUUUAUUUUUACCGAGUCCCCACAUGUCUUAAUUAAGCCCAUCAUAUGUUAUGAAUUCUAUUUCUGGGCGUUGUGGGCACAGCAGUUCCUACUGCCUUUUCUCUCCCCUGUCUGAGCCAUUUCACUCAGUGGGAUGAUAUUUUAUAACUCAUUAAUGUUUGUAGUACUGUGUACUAAAAUAUUCUGUGUCAGCUGUCAGCUGUCACUGGUACCGAGCCUGCAGUCCAUCAUAAUCUACUUUCAUGCCAGGUUACAUCUAUGCCAAGACUUGGUGGUGAAUCCAGUGGCCAGUAAGAGCCAAGUGCUCAGCCUGGGAUUUACCCAUGUGGGCAAGUCAUUCCAACAAGCCUUUCUAGGCUGGGAGAAAGUUAACACUGGCUAAUGGUAAGGACUGAAGUCUAGAGAUGUACACUAUGAAAGAUCCAGAUGGGUUAGCCCUGCCUUGGAAAGCCUUGUUUGUCUUUAUAUAGCCAGUGUCCUGCUAAUCCUCACUGCUUUAUAAACACGGUGGCCUCCUGUGACAGGCAAAGGCAUGCACCUGAACUGUCGCACACAAGCAUUCUGUGAGAGGUGCGGCUGCUGUUGGCAGCCUGUCAGCUUCUGCUGUGUUCGGGUCUGGGGUGAGACACCUGGGCCAGUGAAGCAGCAGGAUGAGUUCUGCCUUAAGGACCCCCAGCAACCCAGGCGGCUGCAGAGCCCUAAGGACCCCCAGCAACACAGGCGGCUGCAGAGCCCUAAGGACCCCCAGCAACCCAGGCGGCUGCAGAGCCCUAAGGACCCCCAGCAACCCAGGCGGCUGCAGAGCCCUAAGGACCCCCAGCAACCCAGGCGGCUGCAGAGCCCUAAGGACCCCCAGCAACCCAGGCGGCUGCAGAGCCCUAAGGAUCCCCAGCAACCCAGGCAGCUGAAGAGCCGUGAUUUCCACAGGCUGGAACACCUGUGCUUUUCCUUUCCCGGGACUCUAGAAGAGCCUGCGCCAUUCUGGAGGCUGUCACUGUGGUUAGUCCGUCCUGAGAGAUGCUAUCUCACUAAAGGUCCUAUAUCUAAGGAUAUCAGCAUGUGUUGCUACAGGGACCCAUGAAGUAGAUUAAUAUUAGUCUGGGAAGGAACUGGAAAGGAGAUGUACGCCUUUAUAAACAGAUAAAGAAAUAGCCAUCUCUGUUUCUUUCUCUAUACACCCCCAAUAUCCUUCUCAUUCUAUCGUGAAGUUCAAACUUUUGAUGUAUGGAGAUAAAUUUUCUUUGGAGGAAUGAGGUUGGGAGAAGGUGAUUUAUCACUCCCAGCCAAGCUCUGCUUCUAGAAGAUCCUCUGACUAUGCAUGGCUAAGCAGGUAGGCCCCUGUCCUCAGGCCCUGAGACCCAGUGCUAUGGUCACACCUCCAUGUGCUCUGGUAGCCAAGGACACAGGCUUCUGAUGACCUUGAAGCCUCUGCCUGUGACUUAGAGAUAUGCAGGGAGUACCAGACAGCUGAGGAAUUCACACAGAGCCAUUUGCAGAAGGCUGCUUGUCUUCAUCCCCUGCCUCUCUGUACAUUGUAUUCUGUCUCAGUGGCCCAUGGCUUUGGUCUGAGUUCUUUCUGUGGAGUUUAUACCUUGCAUAUGUGAAAGAGCAGCCCAGAAACACAUGUAGUAAAAGCAUGCUCAAAUCUUAGCAGGUAUCACCUCAGGUGCCAGUAGUACAGUAGUGACGUGACCGAGCAUGUCACAAUAUUCUAUUACAACAAGACAGACAAAGGACUGGCUACUUGAUAUGCUGGCAGGAAGCACCAAGAAGGGGAAAACAAAACAAAACGAUCGCACCUGUGCAUUAUGUCAUUUGGCGGAUACGUAGAUGUAACUUAAAACCAACUGGAGUUUGGGAGGAUGUAUACCUCUGGAUGUGUAUAUAAACGCAACAGUCUGAUUCUUGUCUAAUUCUUGAUACGGUUUGAGUGUUCAAAACUGACCUCUGCUUGUCGCUGGGAAGAUGGCUCAGUCAACAAAAUACCCGCCUUACAAGUGCAGGAUCCUUAGCACCGACAUAGAAAGCCAGCAUGGUGGUACACACAUCUGUAGUCCUACACAAGAGGGAGGCAGAGGCAGAUCCUUGUAGCUCAUUGGUCAGGCAUCCUAGCCAAUCAGUUGAUCCUGGUUCAGUUCCAGCUCUGUCAAGAACACAGGUGGAGAGCAUUAAGAAAGAUGCUCAAUGUUACUUAUGGCCCCCACGUCCAUGAGUACACGGGUACACACCCACACAGGUAAUGCACAAAUGCAUAGUCACAUAGAAACCUGAUGCUGCAGAGGUUUUGCUUUUCAAUAAAAUGGUUUGUCGAGCAUGCAGAGCCUGUGGAUCUGAAUCCCAGAUGUGUGGAGCAGUCGCCACGGUAGGCAGGUUUCUGGAGGGAGUGAUUUUUAUAGGGCCACAUUCUGCCUCUUAAGGCUCUGGAUCAUUCUCUUAGACCCCAUGCCCUGCACGCUUCCUGGUCGUUGUGAUGAAUUGCUUGGUAGAAUCAUCUGAAAGAGUUAGUCUUAGGUUUGUGGGCUUCUGUCCAUGGUCACUUGGAUCUGUGCUAUCAUGGGGCAUGUGGCAUGGGGCACAAGAAGC